UCCGUGUGCGUGUAUAUGCACACCGGGCUGUCUGCGCUUGUUUCGGGGUAACCCUUCCCCCGCCGCCCAGUUCCCUACUAAGCUACUACAGCCGUGUCCUGACAAGUCCGCUUAAAGGCAACACUGCUUAAUACCGAGAAGCACUUGAGCGGUAGGAUACAGCCGUCAAGCCUGUACAUCUAAGAGAUGAUUUUGGAAGUGCUAAGAAGAGGAAAAAUCACCUCCUGGCAUGUGUCCUACUUUGGCUAAACAUGGCAGCAGGCUCUUUUCCAUUGCUUACCUGGUGGUAGUGCUCUGCGAAGGGAUCCCCUCACCACAGGACUGUCUCCUGCUCAGCUCAGCAUGCAGUUGGCCCUUGCUGUUGCAGGUGCACGCUGCUGGCUCCUGCUCAGCUUGCUGCCCACUAUGACCCCCAGGACCUUUUCAGCUGAACUGCCAGCAACAACUGGUCCAUUCUCAGCCUGUAACACUGCAAGAGGGUCUGCUUCCCAUGUGCAGGACUUUACAUUUAUCUUUGCUGAAUUCGAUAAGGUUCCUGUUAGCCCCAUUCCUUCAGCGGGUCUGGGUCCCUCCACCCUCAACUGUAUCAACUGUUCCCCCCCUUCUUGGUGUCACCUGCAAACUUGAAGAAAGAGCACUUCAUCACCUCCUUCAGGUUAUUGUUAGAGGUGCUAAACAGGACAGAUAUGUAUGCAACAUUCGUGUUUCAAGAAUUCAAGUAGUUUGUUGGGUUUUUCUGGUUCUAAGACUCACAAAGUCUCUCUCCUAGCUGUUCUUAACUCUGACCAGCUGAAGUGAUUUGAACUAAGGUUAAAUUGAUGGGCUGUAUUAUAACACCAGAAAGUGUUUUUAUUUCACUGAAAAUGUUGUCUGAAUGAAGAUUGAAAGAUUGUGUGGUUCAUAAUAUUAGGCAGGCUUUCAACAAAGGGAUUUCAAGAAAAUCUCUGGUUCAGCAAAUGCAUAAAAGCAAGUCUUUUGAUUUUCAUAGCUGUACAGUGUGGUGCUGGCAGGGUGAGCUUGGUGUAUAAUUAUCAUUUCUAAGAAUGAAUUCUAUUAAAAUUGAAAUAAAAGAUCUUUGUGAGGAAAUAUGAGCUC